AUUAGUUAGGAUAUUUUGCGAUUUGUUGAGCUGGUUUGACCUCUGUUCAAUCUCAGGUUGUCCCCAUCGAAGAGUUCUUUGGUUUCAGUUAUGAAUAUGUGGUCCCUUAUAGUUGGGGUCUGCCUGAUGAGAAGAGGGUUUUUAGUUCUAGACCGCAUUUGGUUGGCUGAAGGAUUGGGGAAUUCAGUUACCACUGUCUUGUCCUGUCCGGAUUCAUGUCCGAAGGGGAUGUGGGGGUGGUCACUGGUUUGGCCCCUGAGUUAUU